UACGGAGGGGGUUAGCGUUGUUCGGAAUACUGGCGUAAGCGUACGUAGGCGGAUCAGAAAGUUGGGGGUGAAAUCCCGGGGCUCAACCCCGGAACUGCCUCCAAAACUCCUGGUCUUGAGUUCGAGAGAGGUGAGUGGAAUUCCGAGUGUAGAGGUGAAAUUCGUAGAUAUUCGGAGGAACACCAGUGGCGAAGGCGGCUCACUGGCUCGAUACUGACGCUGAGGUACGAAAGUGUGGGGAGCAAACAGGAUUAGAUACCCGGCGUAGUC
rnacentral:rRNA from 1 species